rnacentral:rRNA from 1 species
CGCCCUCGCAAGGGGGAGUGGCAGACGGGUGAGUAACACGUGGGAACAUACCCUUUGGUUCGGAACAACGCCGGGAAACUGGCGCUAAUACCGGAUACGCCCUUAUGGGGAAAGGCUUUGUCCGCCGAAGGAUUGGCCCGCGUUCGAUUAGCUUGUUGGUGAGGUAACGGCUCACCAAGGCGACGAUCGAUAGCUGGUCUGAGAGGAUGGCCAGCCACAUUGGGACUGAGACACGGCCCAA